AGUGAACGCUGGCGGUAGGCCUAACACAUGCAAGUCGAACGGCAGCACAGUAAGAGCUUGCUCUUACGGGUGGCGAGUGGCGGACGGGUGAGGAAUACAUCGGAAUCUACUUUUUCGUGGGGGAUAACGUAGGGAAACUUACGCUAAUACCGCAUACGACCUACGGGUGAAAGCAGGGGAUCUUCGGACCUUGCGCGAUUGAAUGAGCCGAUGUCGGAUUAGCUAGUUGGCGGGGUAAAGGCCCACCAAGGCGACGAUCCGUAGCUGGUCUGAGAGGAUGAUCGGCCACACUGGAACGUAGACACGGUCCAGGCUCCUACGGGAGGCAGCAGUGGGGAAUAUUGGACAAUGGGCGCAAGCCUGAUCCAGCCAUACCGCGUGGGUGAAGAAGGCCUUCGGGUUGUAAAGCCCUUUUGUGGGGAAAGAAAAGCAGCAGGUUAAUACCCCGCUGUUCUGACGGUACCCAAAGAAUAAGCACCGGCUAACUUCGUG
rnacentral:rRNA from 1 species